rnacentral:rRNA from 1 species
UACAGAGGUCCCAAGCGUUGUUCGGAUUCACUGGGCGUAAAGGGUGCGCAGGUGGUCGGGUAAGUCUGACGUGAAAUCCCGCAGCUUAACUGCGGAAUGGCAUUGGAUACUAUUCGGCUAGAGGGUUGGAGGGGGGACUGGAAUUCUCGGUGUAGCAGUGAAAUGCGUAGAUAUCGCUUGGAACGCCGAAGGUGAAAACAGGCUGCUGGGGUUGCGCCGACGCUGAGACACGAAAGCUAGGGGAGCAAACAGG